GUCUUGAAUGGGCAACAGCAGUCCCUUACUCUCUGGUGUCACAGCAGAGGACAGCAAAGAUGAGGUGCUUCUUAACCUGCCUCUGCUUGCUGACAGUGUGUCUAGGGGUGCAGUCGGCAGUGGAGCUGGUCCAGUCUGGCGCCGUGGUGAAGAAGCCUGGGGAGACUGUGAAGAUCUCCUGUAAAACCUCCGGGUUCACAUUCACUGAUUCCUACAUGGACUGGGUGCAGCAGGCUCCAGGGAAAGGCCUGGUGUGGGUUGGAGAUAUUGACCCUGAAGAUGGUAGUACCAAUUAUGCAGAAACACUGAAAGGCAGAGUCUCCAUCACCACCGACAACUCCAUCAGCACCGUGUACCUGCAACUCAGCCGCCUGUCGCCUGCAGACACUGCCAUGUAUUACUGUGCUCGACACACAGUGGGCAGGAUGCCAUUCACAGCCGUGCAAGAACUCUUG